rnacentral:piRNA from 1 species
UGAGCCGCUCUAGAGGAGACCCCUGC